CUAUGACACUCUAUCUAUAUCUUCUCUCUAUAGCUGACCCCUCCCCACAACCCCCUGGCAGACUCGUCUGGUGGACCUCGGAUACCAACUCUCAGCAUCUGCCACAUCGAUUUCCCCCCAAAUCUCACCUCCUCAACGUCGUCUAGCUCACCGCAACACACCAGGCCCAUGGCAUCUAAAUGCAGCUGCAAGUACUACGACUGGAUCGUGCAACAGCUGUGUGUGUGUGCCCAGGAAGGUAGAACCGGCAGCAACUGCAUCAGAGCUACAGGUGCACCAAUAAGACGACAUCCAUUUAUUUAGGAGGCCUGCAGAGCUAACUGUCUUCAGAUUGAUGGAUUUCAGAUAGAGUUGACACCUUUGAUUCCAACCCCACCAGGUGCAGCCUCUUCGUCAGCCACCCCAGAAACCAUGGUGUCCAGAGAAAAUUAUUUGGGAGGCCUCCCUGCGCGUACCACCAAAGGGGAUAUCAGGGAGCCCUCCGUUGUUUUGGCGGCACCAGCAGUCUGGUCUUACCAGGAAGGAGAAAAGGAAGGGGGCACACUUCUGCUCAUAAUCGCUAUAAAAAAGCGGGCAGUGCUGGUGCUGAACAAUCAGCAACUAAAACGGAGUGGACUCGACUAUCUUCAACUGCCUCACCUCACAUCAGAAAACUGAUAUAUACACCUCACAUCAGCAUGGUAUGCUGCAGAUGUAAAAAAAGGACUAUGUAGCGGGUGUGUGUAUGCCCAGGGGGGCACACCCUGCACAAAUUUUUGCAGCACAAGAUGCUCAAACCAGGUUAGUCUCCCUCCAUGUUAUUAUAGUUAAUACUCAGUGUUGUGUGUGCAGGUGGUGUGCAUGCAGUGCUGGUCCCACUAGGGUUGUCAUAACUCAAAAUUAUACACUUGUUCUCUGGUGCAUGGUCUAUAGUGGUCUAUAAAAUUACAAGUGUACAGGAUUAAGCUACCACUAUACUACUUCAUGUAUGCAGACCUAUAUCAUUCUGUAUGAUUACACUGAGCUGCGUAAGG